UGUUAAUGUAGCUGGACAACAGCCUUGUGGGU
rnacentral:piRNA from 1 species